rnacentral:tRNA from 8 species
GCGCCCGUAGCUCAGUGGUAGAGCAUCCGACUUUUAAUCGGAUGGUCGAUGGUUCGAAUCCAUCCGGGCGUACCA